CCUACGGGAGGCUGCAGUGGGGAAUAUUGCGCAAUGGGCGAAAGCCUGACGCAGCGACGCCGCGUGCGGGAUGAAGGUCUUCUGAUCGUAAACCUCUGUCAGCAGGGAAGAACGGUCACUGUGCUAAUCAGCAGUGAAUUGACGGUACCUGCAAAGGCAGCACCGGCUAACUCCGUGCCAGCAGCCGCGGUAAUACGGAUGGUGCGAGCGUUAAUCGGAUUUACUGGGCGUAAAGCGCUCGUAGGCGGUAUGUCAAGUCAAGGGUGAAAUCCCCGCGCUCAACGUGGGAACUGCCUUUGAAACUGGCAAACUGGAGUGUGUGAGAGGAUAGUGGAAUUCCAGGUGUAGGAGUGAAAUCCGUAGAUAUCUGGAGGAACAUCAGUGGCGAAGGCGACUAUCUGGAACAUAACUGACGCUGAGGAGCGAAAGCGUGGGUAGCAAACAGGAUUAGAUACCCCAGUAGUC
rnacentral:rRNA from 1 species